rnacentral:rRNA from 1 species
CCUACGGGUGGCUGCAGUGAGGAAUAUUGGUCAAUGGCCGCAAGCCUGAACCAGCCAAGUCGCGUGAAGGAUGACUGCCCCACGGAUUGUAAACUUCUUUUGUCAAGGAAUAAAGUCAGGCACGUGUGCCUUUUUGUAGGUACUUUAUGAAUAAGCAUCGGCUAACUCCGUGCCAGCAGCCGCGGUAAUACGGAGGAUCCGAGAGUUAUCCGGAUUUCUUGGGUUUAAAGGGAGCGUAGAGGGGUUGUUAAGGCAGUUGGGAAAAGUUGUGGAUCAACCGUAAAAGUGAAAUUGAUACUGGCAGUCUUGAGUACAGUUGAGGUAGGCGGAAUGCGCGGUGUAGCGGUGAAAUGCUUAGAUAUAACGAAGAACUCCGAUUGCGAAGGCAGCUUACUAACCUGCAACUGACAUUGAUGCUCGAAAGUGUGGGUAUCAAACAGGAUUAGAUACCCUAGUAGUC